CUGCUUUGUAAGUGUCAGUGUAUUCUUGUGUAUUAGUAUCCGUGACUCUGCAAUGCAGUGUGAGCAGUGGGGUGAUGAUCAAAACCCAUGGAUUGUGUCAUUUUGGGUGAAGAACAGUACACCUGUGACCCGGCUGUGCUCAGGCAGCCAUGGGUAUGGAGUAAUGAUAACAAAAAGAUAGCCUCCAGAUACUCAUCACAUGCCAACAGGAUUACGGAGCAUAAACAUUCAACACAGCUUCUUAUUUCAUCAAGCUGAACCUGCUGAUGAAGACUUCUUCCUACAGCUAUGGGAGGCAUUGCAAUUGCAGGCUCUUCUCCUGCUGGGAGACUUCAACCACCCUAACAUCUCCUGGAAAAGUAGCACAGCAAGCUGUAGGCAAUCCAGAACUCUCCAGGAAUCUAUCAAGGAUAACCUCUUGAACCAAGUAAAAGACAGGGAAUUGGAUAGGAUGACCUUUAAAGAUCUGUUCCAACUCAAACAAUUAUAUGGUUCUAUGAUUAUAUGUUUAACACCUCAAUUCUUUUACAACUAUUUUGCACCUUAUCGAUUGCAGAUUAACAGUAGGAGUUCUCCUUUUAUUGAUAUAUUUUCCUGUCUCAACUUUAUGAACCAGUAUGAAAUUCUCCCAUUUACAUCUCUUGUGUGGUGUCCUUUGCACUUGUUUUACUAUAACAGAUUGCAUUUCUCUAACUUCCAGAUCAAGUUAACUGAAGCUACGUGUAUAUUUCUGUGUAUUAAAUCCUAAUUCCCUUUUUGUAUUACAUUUACUACAUUUUCUAUAUCUUUAUCAAAUUAGCAAUCUGAUUGAAGAUUCUGUCAUCAGCUUAAUUUUCUAAAGUGCUGUUAAACAUGACACAUUUGUUUUGUCUCUAUACUUGAGUUUCAGUUCACAGAAAACUUUAACUCUCUAUUUGUUCUCUAUUAUAUUCACAUUACAUCUUUAAGAAGAAAUUAUGAAAAAUAACAGUGAAUACUGUUGAUUAUAAAGAAGUUGUUCCUAAUGACUCUCUACAAGGACAUAUUUACAGAUUACUCAAGCUGUAGACACCUCAAGUGGGCUGUAAUGUAAGAAUCACAUCAUCUGACAUUUGACGCUACUAUGGUACCUAUAAUAUCAACUUCAUCAUACACGGAAGUGUGUAUAGUAAGUCUUCUAGCAAAACUUCCUGGUUUAUAAUCAGUAAAAAGAAUGAACUGCCUCUGAAGAAGGUUCAGCACACCUGAGUUAGUCCUGACUCUGAGUCAUCUAUUAAAUUAUAUUUCUAAAAUUAGUUAGGGUAAAUACUAAGAGCAAGAUUUCCAGAAGAUGACUGUAUUUGCAAACAUUUACAGAAUAUUUAAGGCUCUCAGAGAGGUCUGAAGGCUAUGAGAACAUAAUCUGAAAAGAGAACAAGAUAGAUUAUUCUAAAGAAGACAGUCUCAUUAUAUUCUGCUAGUAGUGGAUGAGGGAAAAAAAAAAACAAAAAACAGUCUUCAUACCUGCCAUCUCUAAUACUUUCAAGUGAGAAUAACAAACUAAAUAUUUGAUACUUCCAAGAUUCAUUAGUGAAGGAGAUCUUAAUUAAAAUCUGUACAAAAUAUUUCAACAGAAAAAUGUCAACAUUUUCAUUUGUCUCUCUUGAAUUGAUUGUGCUCACAUACAGGAAAUGUCAGAAUUUCUCAAUAUAAAUGUAUAAAUAUUGACAACUUUCAGGGUUCUUUUGCACUGUACACCUAAAAAAGGUGAAUGUCAGUGACUUCAUGAGUCUUGAGCAAGACUAGAGGGACUUUCUCAUCUCUGAUGUGUAACUUCGCAAAGCUGUAAUUUUUACAAAAUUUGUCAGAUGGAUAAUAUUUUUUCAUAAACUGAAGUAUGUUAAAGAAUGACAGGCCUUUCAUAUUUUAUGAUACCUUAAUGAUAACUGCACUGAGCGCUGAAUAAGGAUAGCAUUAAUAAAUACUUAUCCAUCACUAUUAUUAGGAAACACUUUUGCAAAAUAAAUAUGUAUGUCUAAUUAGCACUUUGAAAAUUGAUGAAUGUAUGUAAUGUUGAAACAGAAUGAUUAUUUCUUUCCAUAAGAUUAUGAAUAUUUACUUACACGUAGAAAGAAGAAACUACUUAUAGAUCAAAGAUGAGCUAGCAACUCUCACAGAAAAACUGUCAGAUUUACAAUUUUUUUGGCAUUUAAUAUAUAUUUUUUUUUCCUGAAGACAUUCUUUUAAGUCAGAAUUUUGUAAAAAAUUUUCUGACCUUGUGACUGAAGAGCAGAGCCUGAACAUCACAAGCUUUGGAUAUACCUUACAGAUUCAAAAUUGAAGUGAAGGCAAAGUAUCUUUCAUUUAUUUGGUCUUUAUCAUUCUAAAGUUAUCCUUUCUGGCUGGCAUUAACACAGCAUAUUCAUGUCCCCUAAGGCAAAACUACCAACAAUGACAAUUUGUCUGGCUGCAUGGCUUCAAUUUUGAAUCUGUAUAUCUACAGUCAGAAUUUGAAGUAGACUAAGAGCCUGCUUCAGAAUUUAGGGGGAAUAAGGCUCAUGGGUGAACACUGCAGGCCAUUUAGAGUACCAGGUCCAGAAAGUAGGUUCAGAUGUUCUGGAUAUGAACAGAUGAGUAGAUGGGGUAGCAAGAACAAGAGCCUUGCAUUUUGCCUUUGCUACCCAGCAGACCUGGAUGUGCUGAGCAGGUUCUGAUAAUGUGUUGGUGGGAUCUCAUAGUCUAAUAAUCUUUAAAAAGAAUAAUCUCUUUAAAGAAAUUUUUUCUUCUAUGCAUGAAACUGUAGCUUUCUGGAUAUGGUGCAGGCAGCCACAGUGGGAGAAGAGGCUGAUAUAUAUUCAUUUUAUUAUUCAAAUUCACACAGUUUGUGCUUUGUUUUUAAGAUAUGUCAUGUUUUAUCUCAUGUCUUUAAGACACAUUUGUUAGUGAGAUAUUAUGUAAAAGAAAAAUUUGAAAUUCAGUCAAAGUGAAAGGUGCUUUGGAAAGCUAUGCUGACACGCAUAGCAGGCAUGUUUAGAAAUGAUUCUAAUUUGAAUAGAUUGUCUAGAUAUUGCAUCAAUAAAAGUAACACUAAGGAGACAGAAUGAUGAUACUUUGUCAAGCUUCAGGAAAAAAAAAUGCAAUCAAACUGUUUCCCAAGACUAUCAAUUGUACACAAAGAUAUUAAUUGACCAUAAAACAGUUUUUUUAUUUCCUAAACUCUUGUCUUAACAUUUCCUAAAUUAACUGUACUGAGGAGCUACAAAGUUUGUAGCUCAUUUAUUUUGGGAAAAACAUUUUGUAAAAUGCUACUGAAGUCUGCAUUCUUUAUCACACUCUUAUAAAUGGCCACAUUCAGUGUGACUUCAAAACUGGGGGAGUAUUAUUCCUUGUUCAUGGUCUUUAUUACUCUCUCUCUCUUACAAUCUCUUUCAUUAUAUAUAUGCUCACAUAGAUACUUACACAGGUAUAUAUAUAUGUACAUAAAUAUGUAUGUGUAUGUAUUCAUUUGUGCAAAUAUGUAUAUACCUUCUUCACAUACGUAUCAAAUAUAGGGGAAAUAUUUAAGAAAAAGUCCAGAUAAGAGUAGCAAAUAUAGAGCAAAUACAUCAAAUAAUGAAAGAAGUCAUCUACUAGAUGACAGUGAGUUAGACUACCAACUCAUAGGCGAUGUAUUGUAUGUGAAUCCUUUCAUCUAAUAUUUGUAAGCUCACAGCAGGCUCAUUCUCUAGUCCAUUGCAGAAUGUUUUUAUUUAUUCACAAAGACUCAAAAAAAAAAAAAAAAAAGUAAAAAAAAAGUGUUGUUAGUAUCAAAGGAAAAUAUUGUUAGAUAUGAUUUGUUAUACAGUUCCUCUCACAUGCCAAGCAUUAAGAUCUUUUAAAAGGGUUUGUUACCACACAGAAGAUAUAAGGAACACUUCUUCCUCUAAGAAAAUCAGACUUGAAAAUUUAAGAUUUUACGGUCCAUUAACCUGCUAUUAAAGACAAACGACAGGAUUUCUUUCUGAAAUGAACUUUUCAUUGUACAAGAACUAAAGCUACAGUAACAGAAGAGAGAAAAGAGGAGGAGAAAAAAAAGGCCCAAGCAAUAAAAUGAGGCCCACAAUGUGAUUCUUAUCAAAGUCCAUGCCAUUAAAGAAAUGAAAUUGCAGCAAUACAAAGUUGUAGAUACUGAUUAUGUGUAAUGGUGCAGAACCAGGUUGCAUCAGCAUUGAAUUUCAGGCAGUUCACAUUCCAUUUUACCUGCAUUUCUGGAAAGUUGAGCCAGAGUCAACUCCCAGUAAGGAUGCAGUUGAUCACAGUGUUACAUAAAGUCAAACUGACAGAUAAGAGAAAGCAAAAGGUUCUAGGUCAUGUCUCUGCUGGGUUUUAAUUCAUUCUCAUUAGGAACAAUAAUGGACCGAAGUGCUUGUUAGAUUCUAAAACUGAGAAGCAUAUUUAUGGAAUAUGGUCACAUUGUUUGCUUAGGUAGAAGAAAGUCAAGUAAAAUACUUUUUUAUUAAUUUCAUUAAGAAAUAUCUGUCCAAAAAGAGUUCUUCUAGCGUUAAGUAACAUAUUAUCUAGGGAAGGUGAACAUGGCAUGAUAAGCAUAUAAUCAGGUGUGCUGUCUCUUUUAAUUGGGUUCAUUUCAGAAUGAGCAACAAGCAUUAGGAUGCUUUAAUUCUAUUCAUUUUAGUGAGAGCAAUAAACAUUAGGAGGUCCUUUAGUACCUUUCUCUGAAGAGGCCCACUUGACUAAAUUUGGUAUAAUUUAAACAGGAGUAACUGGAUACAAGAUUUAUUUAACCCUUUGCCUGACAAACUGUUCAUUUUAAAGUUAUCUCCGUAAAAGAAAACACUAAGUGCAUUAACGAAAAUUAGUAUUAGUUGUCAUUCUAGAUGUGAUACCGUAGCACCAAACAUAGCACAGAAGCAAUACCUCCUUUAGGGUUUAAGUUAGCAGUUGCACAGAUCUUAAAAUAUUCUGCAUAUCUAUAGGUCAGAGACAAAAUCACAAGUAGGUGAAAAUUAGUGUCUCCAUAUGUGUUGUACAAUAAGUCAUGACAAAACAGAUUACACAGAGUUUGAUGUUGACACGAUCUAUUUUGAAUAUAUGAAACUAUUCUUCCCAUUUCAUCCUCAGGCAUUUGUGGUGGCUUGACCUUAGCCAGCAGUGAAACACCUGCACGCCCCCUCAUUCAUUAUCCACCCCAGUGGAACAGGAGAAAAUGAGAAGAGUGAAAGGGAGAAAAACUGUGGAAAGAGAUAGAGACAAUUUAAUACGUGAAGGAAAUAGAUUUAAAAAAAAAAGCACAUGGUACCAAGGCAAUCUCUCACUACCCCUCAAAUAGCAUACAAAUGCCCAGAAAAGCUCAGAACAAAUGCUACCUUGGAAAACACCCCACCACCCCCAACUCAGUUUUUAUUGCUGAGCAUGGUGCUACACUAUACAGAAUAGACUUUUGGCCUUUGACCUACAUUUACCCAGUGUAACAUCAUGUUAUGCUGAAUUAUGUUAUUUUAAAGUGUUCUACUGUUGACAGAGAUUUAUUAUGGACACAGUUUAGCUCCUGUUGAAGUUAAUUUUUAAUUUUCAGGGAUUACAGCUGUACCGUGACCUAGUGUGCUACAAUUUAAGAAUAUCUUACUAUUUCUAUUGUCAAAAAUGCCAAACAGCUGUUCUAUCUUUCCAUGUAAUGGAUAUGGUAUUUCAUGUUUAACAUAAUGUACUCAAUAGGUGCCUGGUAGAGUUAAUCUUCUUAAAGUUAAUGAGAAUCUUCUCAUCAGUUUCCCUGGGAUCCGAUUUUAAUCCUGCAUCCUUUUAUUCCUUAUUUUCAGUUCAGAGUGCAGUAAUAUAACUUGGUCAAACAGCCUCUAUCUAUUUUUCUAUCAAUUAAUUCAAUCCAUCUGGCCUUUAUUAACAUAAUACCUCAGCACAUCACAAUAUUACAUGAAUGUUAUUUUUAAAAUGUGGCUGGAGUUCAACUAAGAACAAUAUCCUGCUUCUACUUUUAUACUUUUUUCUCCUAGGUCAGGAAUUUUCAACCCAUUUUACAGGGAUUUGGAAAUGUCUGUAUCCCUGAAAGUGUGUUGGUCUUUUUUUUUUUCUUUCUUUCAUUUAUGUUUGAGCCAUUUUUGUUAAAUAUGCAUAUACUACUUGACUAUAUUCCUCCAAGAAUAAAUCUGUGUUCUCUCUCAUGCUGUGACUGCUGACUCUUAGCUUCUUAUUUCUAGGAAAGCAUGUGAAAUCAUGUUGGUACACAUUAGUAUAUAUAACAUCUCUAAACAAACAUUUUAACUCAAGUGGACUGUGUAUCCUUAGAAAGAAUACAUAUCUCAGUACGCUGUGAUAAACUGUUCAAUAAAAUAAAUUAAUAAUGAAACCCCUCUUUUCAGUCUAGGCUGCUAUUUUGCCAUAGAUUUUAUUGGUCUGAAUUCUUGGCAGAGAAAUUGUCCCACAGGCCACAUAAGGGGUACAUGAUAUAAUUCAGCACAGCAUAACUAUAAAUGACCAGAAUAGAGUCCAAAAUGUCUGCUAAGUUCAAUAUCUUAUUUAUGUUUCAUUCAGAGAUGAGGACACUUUGGAAUUGAUCUAGGCAGAACGUUGGGUUCACACUACAGCUGGAACUAUACAUGUGAGAGAGGGUAUGUGGUGCAGAAGCAUUUUCCAGCAAUUAAUGCACUCAACAUAAUUAUUUCAAUGGAAGUAUAUUUAUUUUUAAAAAUUCUUCAUGUACUCAUAUGUGCUAGACGAUUGUAGGUAUAGAUGUUAUCCAUUUUAUCUUAAUUGUAAAUGUAUUUUUUAUUCAUUAUAGAGUUGAGUGGAAGGUUAACACUACUGAAAGAGUGGUUACUGAGCAGGAGCUUUUGUGUAAAUAAUCUGACUGCUGGACUUCGUUAACAGGUUCUCUCCCUUUUCUUCAGUGCCAUACGUUUCAGAGCAUGAUCUGUUUAUUGCUUAUAAGCGCAUAUAGACAUAUGCAGAAUAUGCACACGUGGCUUGUACAAUACAUAAUUUGAGUUGUUCUAGUUUAUAACAACUACUGAUCAGAGAAGAAGAAAAAGAAAAAAAAGAAAAAAAAAAGAAAAAAAGAAAAAAAAGGAUAAAUUUUUAUAUUUUCUGAAAACCAAAAGUUGUUUAGGUCUCAUAUUACUUUACCUGCAUACAUACAAAAAUUCAAUAUACACACACAUACGGGUAUAUAGAGAAUGCUGAUUGGGACAAACAGUGAAAUACAAUAGGGAACACAGAGUUUUCUGGAAAGUGUCUCUUUCCUAAUUUUAAACAGCUCUGGAGAACUUGUAGAAGAUCUAAUCUGACCAGUACUAAUUCUUAUUUCUCAACAUUUUACUGAAAGAAAUUUUUUAACCCUCUGAAAAAUAUUUUUAUUCUAGAAAGGAAAAUAGAAGUUUGGAAAUAGAAGCCGGUUAUUAAAAAUGGAAAAAAAUAAAUCCAUUAAAUUAUUUCUUUCCUAAGGCAAACAUGUCUCUGUGUGGGGAAAAAAAAAAAAAAAAGGAUAAAACGUGAUUUCUUAUAGAAAUACUUAACAGUAUAGAAAAUAGCUAAAUAUACAUUUGAAUUUUCAAAAUGGUGUACAUAAACAGAAGAAUAUCGGGUGUAGAGUAACAUAUUCAUUAGUGCUUCAACUAAAGAAUCACUGGAUUAAUUUAAUAUUUAAAAAAUGUAGUAAGCUUGACAAUAAGUUGUUUGAAAAGCAGGAAAAACACUUCAACACUCCUUGUAGUAUAGAUGGUACCACAUGGUACCAUCACUCCUUGUGAAAUUGGUUUGGAUGGAAAUUUUCCAACAUGUUAUUCUGAACAAUGAUAUUUUAUUGGGAGUCAUUACAAAGCAAUUACACGCUGAUGAUUUUUUAAAUUUUUUUACAGUAUUUUAAUUUAUAUAUUUGUGCAACUCAUUGUACUAUUCUUUGCUUCUUUCUCUGUACUUGAACAUGUAAGUUGUCAAGACUUGUAAAACUUAGUUGUCAGAGACUGAAACUACAAAACUUGGAUAAUUUCUGAGCAAUAUAUAAAAUGUAAUGUAAGAAGAGAGGGUAGACAGUUUUUUGCUUUGUUUUACUUUUUGUAUUUUUUCUUGUUUGCCCUAUCUUUCUGAACUAUGUACUCUGUUGUUAUCAUAAAUAUUUCUUUACUGUAACAACUCAUGAACUCCCAUUCACUGAUCAAACUAAGAGAUGUACGUAAUCUUUAUUUUCUUUUGAUGAUGAUAUUUUACCUGAUAAACUUCAGUUUUUAUUUAAAUAUAUUUAAAACUCCUGUGAUUUCUCAAUGCUUUCUGCAAACAAUAUGACACGGAAUGAUUAAUUCUACUUAUUCUUCUUAAUAAUCUUAAGAAUCUUAAUAAUUCUUAAUAAUAUGCAGAUCUAAUUCCAUUUGUCUAGCUUUAUCCAUUUGGAAAUUAGUUAUAUGUAAAAGCUCACUUAACGUUAGUUAUUUAGAAAAGGGGUAUCUAAAUCAGAGCUAGGUGUUAGUUUUUCUAUAUAGUCAGUAGAAAUCUUGCCAAAAUGGUCAUUUAAGUAACUAUUCUUACCUUAAGGUAGAAAUCUAAUUUUUUUCAGAUAAAUUGUAAACUAAGCUAUUAGCAGGUUGAGAUUUAUCUCUGGUGAGUUUAAAGAAAAGCUUUGAAUGAUGUUUGAGUUCUGAGUGUAGACUAUUAGCCACAGCAGGGGGAGUUUGUUUACAGAACAGACUGAAAUAUUCUACCAGUUCCAUAGUAAAUGCUAAUACAGGCUGAAAACAAAUUAGCUGAUGAAAAGAGAAUAUACUAAUUAGCACAUGGUUUUGUAUAGACUUGAAUGACAGUUCUGGUAGCAUGCAAACAUUUUGCUUAAAUGGGAAAAAAAUAAUAAUAAAAAAAUAACACCAUCAUCAUUACAACAGAUUCAGAGAAGAUACCAAAGUUUCACCUUGUAAGUGUUCCUUUGUUUGGCUUUGUAUCACUUUGUUAGGGUGCUAUUUAUAAAUACCCACAAAGAGUACUCUUGUCACAAUUGUUAGAGAAGUAUUAUAUAUUAGGUGCCUCUCUUAUUAUGCUAAGCAGCUUUCAUAAUUGCGUCUGAAAAUAUGGUAACUAUGCUUGCAAACAGCCAGUUAAACUUUCCUUUACUUGUUAUCUCCUGUUAAAUUUAUUGCAAGUUUAUAAAGACUAGUACAUUUCUGUGUAUACAUUUGCUGUCUUUGUUCACCCUCACAUCUCUGCAUUCUGCAUACCAGAAAGCAGAAACAACAUGCUUUCAGACAGCUCUACAUAUGGUCAUUUACACUGUCUCAUGUAGGCCAGAUAGCUACACAUUUCCCUAUCCUUUCCCCGAUUGUCCUUUAAGUACAGACACUAAGUUUUCUUCACCUUACUAAUUAUACUAGGAAAAUCACAAUGAAAGGAUCAGUUUUACUUUUUGUUUGUAUUCACUGUAUAAAACAAAGUAGGCUGAUAAUGUACUCUGGAUGAUACUUUCUUUCAUGUCAUUUGACAUUCAAAAAUGGAUAGAUCUAUGUAUGGUAGUGUGUUUGAAAGGAAGUUAUUAUGAAAAUUACACUGGUAAAACAUAAAAAGAGUAGAAAAGAAGAGGCAGUAGAACGUCUGUAAAGUAUCAGUGAAUCUUAAUGCAGCAAGAUUUUGGAUUUCGCAAAUAUUGUGAAGGGAUCUGAUGAUAGUGGAACAGUAAUAUUCCUGCCUCCAUGGAAGUAUGGUUUUCUGUAUGGGGAGUUGCCAGUAUUGCAAUCUACAAUAGUCCUCAAACAGGUAGGUGCAAGCUUUAUUGAAGCAGGGUAAGAUAAUGUAUGCCAUUAGCAUCAGGGUGUCAGUGUAAAGUGAUAAGCUGGUGGAAAAUAUUGUCAACAAAUUAUAAGGAAAACAGAGCUGAGCUGGAGGAGGUCUAUUCUACUGAGCCCAGGUGAAGGGAGCAACUAAACAUUUUUUGCUGUUUUGUGUCACAAAGGAUGUGUGCUACCAGUGUAAGAAAACUAGAAGUCAUAAACAAAGAAGAGAAAAAGCUGUAUCUGGAGUUUGUAUGGACAAAGAGCAGAAAGUGAAUUUUUAAGAGGUAACAAAAUUCAGAGAAAGCCCACAGGAAGCACAAUAUCUGAUUACACUUGCAAACAACUAACAGACAUGUUAGCCUGUAAUAGUAAGGUGACGUCACAACAAAUAUUCCUGAGAGUGUUGAACCUCGUUUUUGCUGUCUGCAGAUGGUUUAAGGUACACAUGGAAAAUCAAGCAGUGAGCUGAGACACUAGAGCUGUCUUUGUCUGUAACAUCCGAAUGUUGAAUUUAUGCAUAUUUUUUAAAGUUUGGUCAAAUUUCAAGCACAGCAGUACCUCUCAGCCAUAUGUGAGUUGUCAUGAAACUGGCAAUAUAGAUGCUCUGUUGUGUCCUUUGCAAUGGCAAUUUUACUCUGCUGCUUUUUAUGUCAACCCUGCCAGCCCACAUAUUCUUGCUGCAGGGCAUCACUUGUGUGCUGUAGCUUCAGAAACGCUAGCUAAAAUCCUGCCCUGAGGAAAGCAAAGGGCUUUUGGUUUCAGUGGCUUUGAGUAAAUUGGCUGACCAAGGAAUGUUUUUUUUUAUCCCCAGGUGGAGCUCUGUGUGCUGGCUGCAUGCUGAAUCUUUAUCCCAGCGAGAGCAGACCAGGACUGCUAUCAGCCUUUCCUUUCUUUUGCCUUGCUAUUUUAGAAAUAAAUUUUAUAUGUGGAGGCCAGUAAGGAGCUCCUGCAUUUGACAGUUGUGGUCUCUUAUUCUGUGCUUGGUCUGGAUAUGAUCAAUGAGGUAAAACAUGUGCUGUGGAAUUAAAUUAUUUUAACAG